rnacentral:rRNA from 1 species
CGUUGCACUAUCGUUAACUGAAUACAUAGGUUAACGAGGCGAACCGGGGGAACUGAAACAUCUAAGUACCCCGAGGAAAAGAAAUCAACCGAGAUUCCCCCAGUAGCGGCGAGCGAACGGGGAGCAGCCCGGAGUCUGAAUCAGCUUGUGUGUUAGUGGAACGGUCUGGAAAGUCCGACGGUACAGGGUGAUAGUCCCGUACACGAAAGCACACUUGCUGUGAACUCGAAGAGUAGGGCGGGACACGUGGUAUCCUGUCUGAAUAUGGGGGGACCAUCCUCCAAGGCUAAAUACUCCUGACUGACCGAUAGUGAACCAGUACCGUGAGGGAAAGGCGAAAAGAACCCCGGCGAGGGGAGUGAAAAAGAACCUGAAACCGUGUACGUACAAGCAGUGGGAGCCUCUUUAUGGGGUGACUGCGUACCUUUUGUAUAAUGGGUCAGCGACUUAUAUUCUGUAGCAAGGUUAACCGUAUAGGGGAGCCGAAGGGAAACCGAGUCUUAACUGGGCGUUAAGUUGCAGGGUAUAGACCCGAAACCCGGUGAUCUAGCCAUGGGCAGGUUGAAGGUUGGGUAACACUAACUGGAGGAUCGAACCGACUAAUGUUGAAAAAUUAGCGGAUGACCUGUGGCUGGGGGUGAAAGGCCAAUCAAACCGGGAGAUAGCUGGUUCUCCCCGAAAGCUAUUUAGGUAGCGCCUCGUGAACUCAUCUUCGGGGGUAGAGCACUGUUUCGGCUAGGGGGCCAUCCCGGCUUACCAACCCGAUGCAAACUACGAAUACCGAAGAAUGUUAUCACGGGAGACACACGGCGGGUGCUAACGUCCGUCGUGAAGAGGGAAACAACCCAGACCGCCAGCUAAGGUCCCAAAGUCAUGGUUAAGUGGGAAACGAUGUGGGAAGGCACAGACAGCCAGGAUGUUGGCUUAGAAGCAGCCAUCAUUUAAAGAAAGCGUAAUAGCUCACUGGUCGAGUCGGCCUGCGCGGAAGAUGUAACGGGGCUAAACCAUGCACCGAAGCUGCGGCAGCGACGCUUAUGCGUUGUUGGGUAGGGGAGCGUUCUGUAAGCCGUUGAAGGUGUCCUGUGAGGGGUGCUGGAGGUAUCAGAAGUGCGAAUGCUGACAUAAGUAACGAUAAAGCGGGUGAAAAGCCCGCUCGCCGGAAGACCAAGGGUUCCUGUCCAACGUUAAUCGGGGCAGGGUGAGUCGACCCCUAAGGCGAGGCCGAAAGGCGUAGUCGAUGGGAAACAGGUUAAUAUUCCUGUACUUGGUGUUACUGCGAAGGGGGGACGGAGAAGGCUAUGUCAGCCGGGCGACGGUUGUCCCGGUUUAAGCAUGUAGGCGGAGGUUCCAGGUAAAUCCGGUACCUUGUUAACGCUGAGGUGUGAUGACGAGGCACUACGGUGCUGAAGUGAUAAAUGCCCUGCUUCCAGGAAAAGCCUCUAAGCAUCAGGUAACACGAAAUCGUACCCCAAACCGACACAGGUGGUCAGGUAGAGAAUACCAAGGCGCUUGAGAGAACUCGGGUGAAGGAACUAGGCAAAAUGGUGCCGUAACUUCGGGAGAAGGCACGCUGAUAUGUAGGUGAAGUCCCUGCGGACGGAGCUGAAAUCAGUCGAAGAUACCAGCUGGCUGCAACUGUUUAUUAAAAACACAGCACUGUGCAAACACGAAAGUGGACGUAUACGGUGUGACGCCUGCCCGGUGCCGGAAGGUUAAUUGAUGGGGUUAGCGGCAACGCGAAGCUCUUGAUCGAAGCCCCGGUAAACGGCGGCCGUAACUAUAACGGUCCUAAGGUAGCGAAAUUCCUUGUCGGGUAAGUUCCGACCUGCACGAAUGGCGUAAUGAUGGCCAGGCUGUCUCCACCCGAGACUCAGUGAAAUUGAACUCGCUGUGAAGAUGCAGUGUACCCGCGGCAAGACGGAAAGACCCCGUGAACCUUUACUAUAGCUUGACACUGAACACUGGUCCUUGAUGUGUAGGAUAGGUGGGAGGCUUUGAAGCGUGGACGCCAGUCUGCGUGGAGCCAACCUUGAAAUACCACCCUUUAAUGGCUGGUGUUCUAACGUAGACCCGUAAUCCGGGUUGCGGACAGUGUCUGGUGGGUAGUUUGACUGGGGCGGUCUCCUCCCAAAGAGUAACGGAGGAGCACGAAGGUUGGCUAAUCCUGGUCGGACAUCAGGAGGUUAGUGCAAUGGCAUAAGCCAGCUUGACUGCGAGCGUGACGGCGCGAGCAGGUGCGAAAGCAGGUCAUAGUGAUCCGGUGGUUCUGAAUGGAAGGGCCAUCGCUCAACGGAUAAAAGGUACUCCGGGGAUAACAGGCUGAUACCGCCCAAGAGUUCAUAUCGACGGCGGUGUUUGGCACCUCGAUGUCGGCUCAUCACAUCCUGGGGCUGAAGUAGGUCCCAAGGGUAUGGCUGUUCGCCAUUUAAAGUGGUACGCGAGCUGGGUUUAGAACGUCGUGAGACAGUUCGGUCCCUAUCUGCCGUGGGCGCUGGAGAAUUGAGGGGGGCUGCUCCUAGUACGAGAGGACCGGAGUGGACGCAUCACUGGUGUUCGGGUUGUCAUGCCAAUGGCACUGCCCGGUAGCUAAAUGCGGAAGAGAUAAGUGCUGAAAGCAUCUAAGCACGAAACUUGCCCCGAGAUGAGUUCUCCCUGAGACCUUGAGUCUCCUGAAGGAACGUUGAAGACUACGACGUUGAUAGGUCGGGUGUGUAAGCGCAGCGAUGCGUUGAGCUAACCGAUACUAAUGAACCGUGAGGCUUAACCUU